rnacentral:rRNA from 1 species
AUGUCCAAGCCGAGCACGUCGCCGUGCCCGACCAUGGCUCCUCGUCUCCACUACGGGAUCCCGGCCCGGCAGGCUCCCCAGAGCGUGUCUCGCCAGGCCGCCUCCUGGCAGGAUCUGCUGCCUCGGUUUCAUCAACCGUCGUCGCCUCUCCACCAUGUCUCCUCCUCCAACCCCUAUCCAGUUCCAGCGACCUCCACCAGGUUGUCCCUCUCCCUUCCUCACUUCACUUUUACUCUGCUCGACCUCACUCCCUUGCUCGAGCUCUCAAACCCUAGCGCUGCCGCUACUUCCAUCGUCGCCGGCAAGGAAGAGCUUCACUACCUUGACCUCGUCGCCGCCAUACUCACGUCGGACACGGAUUUCUUCACUCCGCCGCCGUAG